ACACACACACACACACACACACACAUAUAUAUAUGUAUAUGUAUGUAUAUGUGUAUAUGUGUGUGUGUGUGUGUGUGUGUGUGUAU
rnacentral:miRNA from 1 species